GAGUCCAAAGAAUGACAUAAGAAGCUCAGAUGAACACAGCUUUGGAGGAAACUCAGGAAGUCCGACAUCUGACAGCGUCUUUGAUGUGACAAGCACUGAGCGUGUCUGUGAUGAUGUCACAAGUGAUGAUGUCACAUGUCCUGAACUGCAUACAGCUCCUGGAGUGCAUUUUGCUAUCCAGCACGAGGAGGAGAUCACACACCCAGAUGGAAAGGUA